AGAGUUUGAUCAUGGCUCAGGGUAAACGCUGGCGGCGUGCCUAAAACAUGCAAGUCGGACGGGCAGUCCUUCGGGAUUGCCAGUGGCAGACGGCUGAGGAACGCGUGGGUGACCUGCCCCGCAGUGGGGAAUAACUGCCCGAAAGGGUGGCUAAGACCGCAUGCGCUCAUCGUUUCGUUGCGAUGAGGAAAGUCGACUCCGGUCGACGCUGUGGGAGGGGCCCGCGUCCGAUUAGCUGGUUGGCGGGGUGACGGCCCACCAAGGCGACGAUCGGUCGCUGGUCUCAGAGGAUGAUCAGCCAGACUGGGACUGAGACACGGCCCAGACUCCUACGGGAGGCAGCAGUUAGGAAAUUUUCCCAAUGGGCGCAAGCCUGAGGGAGUAACGCCGCGUGGAGGAUGACGCCUUUCGGGGUGUAAACUCCUUUUCUGUGGGACGAGUAGAAGACGGUACCGCAGGAAGAAGCCUCGGCUAACUACGUGCCAGCAGCCGCGGUAAUAC
rnacentral:rRNA from 1 species